UACGUAGGGGGCAAGCGUUGUCCGGAAUCAUUGGGCGUAAAGCGCGCGUAGGUGGCCUCAUAAGUCCGCUGUGAAAGUCAAAGGCUCAACCUUUGAAAGCCGGUGGAUACUGUGAGGCUAGAGUACGGAAGAGGCGAGUGGAAUUCCUGGUGUAGCGGUGGAAUGCGCAGAUAUCAGGAGGAACACCAAUAGCGAAGGCAGCUCGCUGGGACGUUACUGACACUGAGGCGCGAAAGCGUGGGGAGCGAACAG
rnacentral:rRNA from 1 species